UACAGAGGUCCCGAGCGUUGUUCGGAUUCAUUGGGCGUAAAGGGUGCGUAGGCGGCGGGGAAAGUCUGAUGUGAAAUCCUGAGGCUCAACCCUGGAACUGCAUUGGAUACUUCCUUGCUAGAGUACUGGAGAGGAAACUGGAAUUUACGGUGUAGCAGUGAAAUGCGUAGAGAUCGUAAGGAAGACCAGUGGCGAAGGCGAGUUUCUGGACAGUUACUGACGCUGAGGCACGAAGGCCAGGGGAGCAAACGGG
rnacentral:rRNA from 1 species